GCGGUAGGGCAAGAUUGAAGAACGCCAAUCUGAGCCGGCCUCCCGGAUCGAUCUGCUCCCAGUGACAGCGAGUGGGCUGGGAUAGUUAUGGAGAGGGAGGAGGCGGUGGUGGUGUGGGUGGAGGUGGAGGUGGAGGGGAAGCAAUGCGGAUGGAGGGGAGGGAGGGGAUGGGUCUGUUCGGCCGGCCGCGGCUGGGUUGGGUCGGGUUGGGUUGGUAGGUUGAAGGGGAAAUCGAUCCCGCCGGGGUUUGCGGUGGGUCUCGGGUCUGUUUCGUGCGGUCCGACCCCGAAGAAGGUCUCCACGGAGUCAAAGAUCUGUGGUACUAACCCAAGUACUGUAGCGGGCCGCAGCAAAUAACGUGGAAAUGAUUAUGAAUUAAAGGGGCUGCUAGCAUCCACCGCGUAUGUUUAGUAGAACAUCGAUCACCUGGAC
rnacentral:lncRNA from 1 species